GAUAACCUCUCAUCAGUGGCAACGAGAAUGGAAGUGUUUCCACCUGGUCACACCUCUUAUGAACUGUCCUGGGCUCUUUGAAUCAGAGUGCCACAAGGCUUUUCAGAAUGACUGGAGAUAGUUGGCUGCUCUGGCAAUUGCAGCAGGCUGCAGCAGAAAUCAAGCUCAAACACUUGCUGUCAGUUGAGGCAGAAGUGAAAGCAAAGUGAAAAUACAGGAGCUGCUGUGUUGUGUGGCUGUGAGAAGCUCAUUUCAAGGAUGAGCAUGUUGGAAGCUGUAGCCUGAAGCAAAAAUGGUAAAUACAGGUUGCAAAGACUUCUGGUGUCUGUCUCAAGCAGCUCUUUCAAAGAGGUCAAAUGAAACCCUAGAAACUGAACAUCAGCUGUUGUAUUCCAAUUUCUGUGGCAUGCCACUGACUGGAGGUAGAAAACCAUACUGAUGCAUUUCUGAAGAGGUACCAACCAACCCUGGUGACCUGGCCAACACUCCCCCCUGAAGCACAACAAAGACAAGCCCCUAUUUGGAAUGACCAUCUGGAUGCAAAAAGGGUUUUCUACGUUUAAGGGUGAAUUUCGGGGCCUGUUGCUCUGUAGUCUAGUAAAUGGCACAGAAUGGAUUUGGUAAGGUACCUACCUGGACUGUUCUUCCAAAACUCACACACAGAACUUCCCACAGAAAAGGUCAUCAGCAACAGCCACCUCCACCAGUGAGGCCCUCAAAUGCCAUUCCAAUUAUCUCAGGGCUCCUCUCAUGGCACAGCAUUCCCUAGAAGGAACCUCAGGAAAAAAUCUCCCCAGACUUUACUGACCUGU